CUCACGGGGUGUGUACUGGGUGUUGGUUUCCAUCCUCGAGGAGAACGUANCNGGCAUUAAGUUGUUUGGNACGGGGUCCUCGUCAUUUACUGUGAGCAAACUAGAGUGUUCAAAGCAGGCUUAUGCCGUUGAAUACAUUAGCAUGGAAUAAUAAGAUAUGACCUUGGUCUAUUUUGUUGGUUUGUAUUCCAAGGUAAUGAUUAAUAGGGACAGUUGGGGGUAUUCGUAUUCAAUUGUCAGAGGUGAAAUUCUUGGAUUUAUGGAAGACGAACUACUGCGAAAGCAUUUACCAAGGAUGUUUUCAUUAAUCAAGAACGAAAGUUAGGGGAUCGAAGAUGAUUAGAUACCAUCGUAGUCUUAACCAUAAACUAUGCCGACUAGGGAUUGGUGGACAGUUAGUUUGACUCCUUCCAGCACCUUUAUGAAGAAAUCAAAGUCUUUGGGNUUCCGGGGGGAGUAUGGGUCGCAAGGGCUGAAAACUUAAAAGAAAUUUGACGGGAGGGCACCCACCCAGGAAGUGGGAGCCCUGCGGCUUAAUUUUGACUCAACACGGGGGAAAACUUUACCAGGUCCAGACAUAGUGAGGGAUUGACAGAUUGAU
rnacentral:rRNA from 1 species